AUUGAACGCUGGCGGCAGGCUUAACACAUGCAAGUCGAGCGGGGUGAUGGUGCUUGCACUAUCACUUAGCGGCGGACGGGUGAGUAAUGCUUGGGAAUCUGCCUAUUAGUGGGGGACAACAUCUCGAAAGGGAUGCUAAUACCGCAUACGUCCUACGGGAGAAAGCGGGGGAUCACUUGUGACCUUGCGCUAAUAGAUGAGCCUAAGUCGGAUUAGCUAGUUGGUGGGGUAAAGGCCUACCAAGGCGACGAUCUGUAGCGGGUCUGAGAGGAUGAUCCACCACACUGGGACUGGGACACGGCCCAGAAUCCUACGGGAGGCAGCAGUGGGGAAUAUUGGACAAUGGGGGGAACCCUGAUCCAGCCAUGCCGCGUGUGUGAAGAAGGCCUUAUGGUUGUAAAGCACUUUAAGCGAGGAGGAGGCUCUUUUGGUUAAUACCCAAGAUGAGUGGACGUUACUCGCAGAAUAAGCACCGGCUAACUCUGUGCCAGCCGCCGCCGUAA
rnacentral:rRNA from 1 species